rnacentral:lncRNA from 1 species
CUGAUGCCCCGGUGAGGAGUUGUGAGCGGCUGGCGAUGGUUGGCAUACAGCGAGGCAGAGGGUGGCCUAAGAGGUAUUGUGGAGAGGUGAUUAGGCAUGACAUGGCUAGAAUGCGGGUUUCUGAGGAUAUGACCCUUAAUAGGAAAGUUUGGAGGUCUAGUAUCAGGGUUGUAGGAUAUGGCUCCUAGAGUUUUUCGUACUCCUCACCCGGGGUUGGGUGAGGCUUGGCAGGGCUAUCCAUAGAUGAUUUGUGUAUUGGAUUGUGUCUCCCUUAUGGUAGUUAGUUAUGGUAGUUACUUUCUGAUAUUAUUGCA